rnacentral:rRNA from 1 species
UACGUAGGGGGCGAGCGUUGUCCGGAUUUAUUGGGCGUAAAGAGCUCGUAGGCGGUUUGUCGCGUCGGCCGUGAAAUCUCCACGCUUAACGUGGAGCGUGCGGUCGAUACGGGCAGACUUGAGUUCGGUAGGGGAGACUGGAGUUCCUGGUGUAGCGGUGAAAUGCGCAGAUAUCAGGAGGAACACCGGUGGCGAAGGCGGGUCGCUGGGCCGAUACUGACGCUGAGGAGCGAAAGCGUGGGGAGCGAACAGG